UUCUAAGAGAUAAUGUUAAUAAAUUGAAUAUUUUCAUAGUUAGAGAACCUGUUUAUGACUUUAUGAAUAUGCUUUUUAGCAAUAAUACUAGAUCCCCGUAGACCUGAAAUAACACAGCUAUGGUUACCUUUACACUCCUAUUAUUCUUUGUUGACAUCAUAUUUCGCAACUCUUAUGCCAAAAACCUACCACUUCCACACAGAAUGUGAGGAGCUGACUUCGUGCAGUCUUAAGGUAAUGUAAUCAAUGUUUUGUGUCAUUCCUACAUACGUAUCACAUGUAUUUCUAAAUGUUUAGACUAAUAAUAGACCAUAGUCUACCAGGAAACAGCCAUCAUGUAUUCAUUCCUUUCUGAUAAAAAAAAUAUUUGGGCACCCCUGUGUACAUAUUAUUGCUUUCAAGGCUCAUCCAUGCAUAUCAAUGUAGUACCUGCUGAGCAGCAGUGUAGUUGGUUGGACUGGACACAGAGUUGUUGGUGGCGUAGAGGCCUGAGGAAGGGGUGAAACUUGAACCUGGAAGGUGAACAACAAAAGACACAUUGGGGAAAAAACACAAACAAAGCCUUGUCUGACCCUUUUUUCCCUCAACAUUCUAGAUCCAGACCUGGCAUCUGGUAGGGCGAGUAGGCCGUCUGUCCGGGCUGAGGCGUGGUGAAGCCGGGGCUGUAACUCAGUCCCGUCUGGAGAGGAGACUGACUCUGCGCCAGGCCGCUCUCUGUCUUGAUGCCUGGCAGCAUCACGCCCAGCCGGACAAUCCGUAGGCCUGUCCUGUUUGCGAGUAUGUGUAGACGGCCGACUGCUGCAUGCUGCUGAACUGGGGCUGGCCCGCGUACGUCGGCAUGGACGGGGCAGGCGGCGUGGAGAGGAUGUGAGGGAAACCAUGGACGCAAACGCCUGUUUGUCAAACACUGUUAUUGUUUACCUGCUGUCGGAAGGGUCUGGAACAUGAGAGUCACUGUUUGAUUUCUUCACCUGCAGAGGAAGCAGAAGAGAAAAGUGAG